rnacentral:rRNA from 1 species
CGGAGGUGCAAGCGUUAUCCGGAUUUAUUGGGUUUAAAGGGUCCGUAGGCGGGCCCGUAAGUCAGUGGUGAAAUCUCGCAGCUUAACUGUGAAACUGCCAUUGAUACUGCGGGUCUUGAGUAAAUUUGAAGUGGCUGGAAUAAGUAGUGUAGCGGUGAAAUGCAUAGAUAUUACUUAGAACACCAAUUGCGAAGGCAGGUCACUAAGAUUUAACUGACGCUGAUGGACGAAAGCGUGGGGAGCGAACAGGAUU